CAGUAGCCGCGGUAAAACGGAGGGUGCAAGCGUUAAUCGGAAUUACUGGGCGUAAAGCGCACGCAGGCGGUCUGUCAAGUCAGAUGUGAAAUCCCCGGGCUUAACCUGGGAACUGCAUUUGAAACUGGCAGGCUAGAGUCUUGUAGAGGGGGGUAGAAUUCCAGGUGUAGCGGUGAAAUGCGUAGAGAUCUGGAGGAAUACCGGUGGCGAAGGCGGCCCCCUGGACAAAGACUGACGCUCAGGUGCGAAAGCGUGGGGAGCAAACAGGAUUAGAUACCCGCGUAGUCCCUGUCUCUUAUAC
rnacentral:rRNA from 1 species